UGAGCUGGCUAGAGACCUUAGGAUACGUUGUGUCGUCAUACAUAGGCGUGAUCCUUGACUCUCCUUGAACCUUAUUUAUCCGCUGCUAUGUUUUAAUUUAUGUCUUAAGUCCAAUUUUUCCCUUGUCUUUUUUAGUUAUUAUAUUUCUUAAGUCCAAUUUUUCCCUUGUCUUUUUUAAAGUAUUUUAUCUUAUGUCUUUUCAAAAAAAGAUAUAACCCUAAAAUCUUUAAACUAAGUUGUUUUCCUUUCUUCAAAUCAAUUAAGUUGUUCUUUUUAAAUUGUAAUCCAUGCAUGUCGGUCACGAUCGCCGCGUUUGUGGUACCCCUUGUAUGGGCUGUCGUGACAGAAUGAGAUAGUUAUAUAAGAAGGAAACGAAGUCAUACUAAGAAAAGUUUGAUUAAGUGAUGAGUUGGACUCAUUAAAAUCUUAUCAUUGAUGGGAUAAACGUUAGAUAUAACGAGAUAUACCAUAAAGAAACUACCAACAUCAGUACCUUCUACAAAACACGAGUUGUGGAGUAGAGUGACUCUAGUCUUGCACAUCUCAAGGUGUAACGUUGUUCUAACACAUGUUGGAAAGGUGUCCAAGUAAUUGGAGUUGCGUACUGAGGUGUGUGUAAGUCCGCCAUGUUCAGAAACCGAGUUGACCAACUGGGCGGACGAAUGGAUCAGGAGAAGGAGCUAAAUUGCUGCACAAAUGGAUCAAGUUGAAGCAAAUGACAUGCAGCGGAACAACCAAUGAGAAGACUAAUGCGUCGCACAAGAAAAAUCCUCAAGGGAAAAGGGUAAAGAUGACCUUUCAAAGAACAAAUGCCCUAAGGAUCCAUACCUCACGCCUUCCUAUAAAUGGACUAGAGAAUGAGGAAGGAAGAGAGCUUCUAUCGGUGUCACUCAUUAGUUUUCAGCUCUCUUCUAGAGUUGGAAUUGAGAGCUCCAAACACUCCAUCUUCCUCUUUUCGCGCACACACUUGGUCCUGUUCUAGUUUAGUUUAGUUAAUUGGUAUUUGGUAGUAGUUUUCUGCACUGUUAUCUUUCUGUUCUUGCUAUUCCACUUCGAGAAGAAGUGAUGAAACAAUUUCCUGCUUUCGUUGUUUGUUUUCAGUCUACUUUUGAUGUUAUCGACUCUUGAUGUUUUUGAUUUA